AUUGAACGCUGGCGGCAUGCCUUACACAUGCAAGUCGAACGGUAACAGGUCUUCGGAUGCUGACGAGUGGCGAACGGGUGAGUAAUACAUCGGAACGUGCCCGAUCGUGGGGGAUAACGCAACGAAAGCUGUGCUAAUACCGCAUACGAUCUACGGAUGAAAGCGGGGGAUCGCAAGACCUCGCGCGGACGGAGCGGCCGAGGGCAGAUUAGGUAGUUGGGGGGGUAAAGGCUCACCAAGCCUGCGAUCCGUCGCUGGUCUGAGAGGACGACCAGCCACACUGGGACUGAGAAACGGCCCAGACUCCUACGGGAGGCAGCAGUGGGGAAUUUUGGACAAUGGGCGCAAGCCUGAUCCAGCCAUGCCGCGUGCAGGAUGAAGGCCUUCGGGUUGUAAACUGCUUUUGUACGGAACGAAAAGGUUCUUUCUAAUAAAGAGGGCUCAUGACGGUACCGUAAGGAUAAGCACCGGCUAACUACGUGCCAGCCGCCGCCGUAAUAC
rnacentral:rRNA from 1 species